rnacentral:tRNA from 1 species
UGCCGGGGUGGCGGAACUGGUAGACGCGCCGGACUCAAAAUCCGGUUCCUUCACGGGAGUGUCGGUUCGAUUCCGACCCUCGCAC